rnacentral:tRNA from 1 species
AAGGGUGUAGUGAAAUGGUAUCACGGCGGAUUCCAAAUCCGCAAGUCUGAGUUCGAUUCUUAGCACCUUUGCCA